rnacentral:rRNA from 1 species
AGAACUUUCCAGAGAUGGAUUGGUGCCUUCGGGAACUCUGAGACAGGUGCUGCAUGGCUGUCGUCAGCUCGUGUUGUGAAAUGUUGGGUUAAGUCCCGCAACGAGCGCAACCCUUAUCCUUUGUUGCCAGCGGUUAGGCCGGGAACUCAAAGGAGACUGCCAGUGAUAAACUGGAGGAAGGUGGGGAUGACGUCAAGUCAUCAUGGCCCUUACGAGUAGGGCUACACACGUGCUACAAUGGCGCAUACAAAGAGAAGCGACCUCGCGAGAGCAAGCGGACCUCAUAAAGUGCGUCGUAGUCCGGAUUGGAGUCUGCAACUCGACUCCAUGAAGUCGGAAUCGCUAGUAAUCGUGGAUCGGAAUGCCACGGUGAAUACGUUCCCGGGCCUUGUACACACCGCCCGUCACACCAUGGGAGUGGGUUGCAAAAGAAGUAGGUAGCUUAACCUUCGGGAGGGCGCUUACCACUUUGUGAUUCAUGACUGGGGUGAAGUCGUAACAAGGUAAGCGUAGUGCU